GAGUGAAGUUCAAAUAGGCGAAGUUGUGGAAGACAUAUUAAGGAAAUAUCAGAGUCUGAGGAAAGGGAGCAUGAUGUAUAACUUCACUAUGCCUCUUGCGGUCUCCCCACGAGAAGUUCUGGAAUGACAGUUUCUGAUUGGAAUGUAGUAGAGGCAGAUAAAUGUCCGGAACUAAAGUAAAAGGCAAAAAGGGCCAGCUUCUGGCCCUUUCAGAAGAGACAAGCAGUGUCUUCUGAAAAGUUUCUUAGGCUGUGAAUAUGUCUGACCGUUGCCUGGAGUGGUGGGAAGGAUAGCUGUUAUAAUAUGAUGCAAUGCGUUGUUGCUGGGCAUCAAAUUGUUGCUUUAGCAAAUCUGAGACCAGCUGAAAACCAGGUGAACAUCUUUAUGAAUACUACUUUGGACUCUUUAUCAGUGGGGUCAGAUGAACUGGAUAGCUACAUGUAUCAGACAGUGGGUCAUCAUGCCAUUGAUUUGUAUGCAGAAGCGAUGGCUCUUCCCCUCUAUCGCCACACCAUAAGAGGAAGGAGUGUGGAUACAGGAAGAGUGUACACAAAAUGUGAAGGUGAUGAGGUUGAAGAUCUCUAUGAGCUUUUGAAACUUGUUAAGGAAAAAGAAGAAGUAGAAGGGAUAUCAGUAGGUGCUAUACUCUCUGACUAUCAGCGUGUUCGAGUAGAAAAUGUGUGUAAAAGGCUUAAUCUCCAGCCUUUAGCUUACCUUUGGCAAAGAAACCAGGAAGAUUUGCUCCGAGAGAUGAUAUCAUCUAACAUUCAAGCAAUCAUCAUCAAAGUAGCAGCUUUGGGUUUAGAUCCAGAUAAGCAUCUUGGAAAAACUCUGGAUCAAAUGGAACCUUAUCUCUUAGAGCUUUCUAAGAAGUAUGGAGUCCAUGUUUGUGGAGAAGGUGGAGAGUAUGAAACAUUCACUUUGGAUUGCCCUCUAUUUAAGAAGAAAAUAAUUGUUGAUUCAUCAGAAGUGGUCAUACAUUCAGCUGACGCAUUUGCACCUGUUGCUUAUCUACGCUUUUUGGAAUUGCACUUGGAGGACAAGGGAUGCAAGGCUGAUUUAACAACAAAAUCAGUCAAUGAAUUCACCAAAGACAAAAGCAUAUGACCAUUGCAAAAGAUGCAGUAAACAUCAUCCUUCAUUGUGAACUGAUGAAAUCUUUUCAUUUGAGUUUAAAGACACAGUAAGGAUGCCUGAAAUCAUCACUUCUAUUCAACCAGUGGAUAAGCAUUUGGCAUCCUCAGACAAGCUGUUUAUAGGUAAUUGCUCAUGUGAGGUGAACUGUAAUGAGAACAACAUCCCCACUCUAGCAGAGGAAGAAGACCAAAGUGAAACUCCACCUCCCACUGGAAAUCAUUGACUCACCCUCUACCAAAUUGGAUUCACCUCGCAAAGAAAUUACAGCCAAGUUCACUCUCUUCUUGGACAACCUGACCUAAGACAGGAAUUUAGAAUUGAAUGUUCAGCUACUAUUAAAUCUAGGGGAAUAGAAUUGAAAGAUAAUCAUUUUGACCCAUCUAUCUGAAAAGCAUGAAAAAUUUCUCAGGUGUUAACUCAGCUUAUGUGACUACAUUCAAGCUCUGCCUGCCUGCAAGCAUUAGGGCUCUUUCCACUCCCCAUUGAGAGAAUCGCCACUAUCCCACUAUCUUAAGACAAGCCUGAAGAAGUAGGAUCAUGGAGCUCCAAGGAAGACUUCCUCAAGAUUACUUCAAACUUACAGAAACUGACGGGAAUAAGAAUAAUCAUGGAAUAUUCCUGUAUCUUCUACCCAGAUUUACCUGUUGUUGACAUUUUGCCCUAUUUCCUUUAUCAGAUGAGUAUGCUCACUUGCUCUUUCUCCCUCUAUUUGCAUAGGUGUAUGUGUGUGCAUACAAAACAUAUUUAUUAUGUAUUUAUAUAUGUGUGUAGGUGUGUGCACACGUGUUGUUUUGAGCCUUUAAAAGUUAGUCGCAUGACCUUUUACACCCUUCAGUGUAUAUUUUUUUCUAAGAAUAAGAAUACUGUCUUGCAAACAAGUAAAUUUUAAAUUGAUAUGUUUUUCUGAUCUUCCAUCUGCAUUCUGCCUUGCAUGGGCUUUGACUGAUAAAAGACUUUGUCUCAGUUAGGGGCAGUCCUAUGUGAGGUGUGAAUUUCCAUCGGUGAUCCUCUGAAAAUGGUUCUCAGAGAUGUGAAUCCAGGACCUCCUAUACUGGUUGCCUCUGAUCAUGAGGGAAGGAGUGGAGCAGCAUUCAGAUAAGAAUUAGUGUAGUAAGGAAUAGUAGGAAAAGGGGAAUAAAAGGCAAGUGGGUAAAUGAUUACUAAUUUUUAGAGUGGUCCUAGGAAUUAUGCUUUCGGUUGGCAUAAUGGAUGCAUGACUCUCUUUCUGGAAGGAAGAGAGUCAACUGAGUUCACUGUUUGAAUUGCUUCCCUUGGUGGGAAGUGUGUUUUAUUUAUAUGCAAUAUUAUAAAAAAAUAUUUUAGAAACACACUGUAUUAUAAACUUUAAGCUCACCUCUAAAAAUACAAGAAAAUGAAAAAAUGUGCAUGAAGUUAAGUAAGAGGAGAUCUAAUUAGCAUUCUUACAGAAUGAGCUGUAGAUUUACUUGAGACUUACUAGGGGAAAAAUACCAGAGCACCAGACUAGCACAUCAAUCAUUUGAAAUUGCCUGACAGUCUUGAAGAGGAUAUCCUGGCUGCAGAAAGCACAUAGCUGUCUUAAGGCUAGAGGCCCAGGUCAGGACAUAGUAAGAACAAAAGAUGAGCACUUUUGAGAGGAACCAGCUGGCUUAAGGUGAUCCAAAGUGCACAGAUGUUAAGGGCUCACUGUUCCAAUAAUACCAUUACCUAACACAAGAAUAACAGAAUAACCAUUAAAAAAAUUAUGAAACUUGAUUUACCAGGUUGACCCUUGAGAUCUGACAAAUGUGUUUCUUUUCCAUCAUGCUAAUUUUCUAUUUUUAUCUUAAUGUUAUUUUUAUAUGUGUAUUCUU